rnacentral:rRNA from 1 species
UACGUAGGUGGCAAGCGUUGUCCGGAUUUAUUGGGCGUAAAGCGCGCGCAGGCGGUUCUUUAAGUCUGAUGUGAAAGCCCCCGGCUCAACCGGGGAGGGUCAUUGGAAACUGGAGAACUUGAGUGCAGAAGAGAAGAGCGGAAUUCCACGUGUAGCGGUGAAAUGCGUAGAGAUGUGGAGGAACACCAGUGGCGAAGGCGGCUCUUUGGUCUGUAACUGACGCUGAGGCGCGAAAGCGUGGGGAGCAAACAGG